rnacentral:rRNA from 1 species
AUGAACGCUGGCGGCGUGCCUAAUACAUGCAAGUCGAGCGAACAGAUGAGGAGCUUGCUCCUCUGACGUUAGCGGCGGACGGGUGAGUAACACGUGGAUAACCUACCUAUAAGACUGGGAUAACUUCGGUAAACCGGAGCUAAUACCGGAUAAUAUAUUGAACCGCAUGGUUCCAUAGUGAAAGACGGUUUUGCUGUCACUUAUAGAUGGAUCCGCGCCGCAUUAGCUAGUUGGUAAGGUAACGGCUUACCAAGGCGACGAUGCGUAGCCGACCUGAGAGGGUGAUCGGCCACACUGGAACUGAGACACGGUCCAGACUCCUACGGGAGGCAGCAGUAGGGAAUCUUCCGCAAUGGGCGAAAGCCUGACGGAGCAACGCCGCGUGAGUGAUGAAGGUCUUCGGAUCGUAAAACUCUGUUAUUAGGGAAGAACAAAUGUGUAAGUAACUAUGCACGUCUUGACGGUACCUAAUCAGAAAGCCACGGCUAACUACGUG